CUCUCAGUGCAAGGGCUUUACGCGCAUCAGUGAGGAUUCGUCCGAGAUCGUGUUUUUGCUAGUUGAAAACUAUCAACUGACUGCUCCAUUUGGCGCAAGUCGAAUGGGAAUUUUUGGAACACAACAACAACAACAUAUUUGU
rnacentral:snRNA from 1 species